rnacentral:hammerhead_ribozyme from 1 species
GCACUGCUGAGGAGUCCCACAAAAGAACGAAACGGCUGUUCAGUGC